GACGAACGCUGGCGGCGUGCUUAACACAUGCAAGUCGAACGGAAAGGCCCUGCUUGCAGGGUACUCGAGUGGCGAACGGGUGAGUAGCGCGUGGGUGAUCUGCCCUGCACUUCGGGAUAAGCCUGGGAAACUGGGUCUAAUACCGGAUAGGAGCCAUUUUUAGUGUGAUGGUUGGAAAGUUUUUUCGGUGUAGGAUGAGCUCGCGGCCUAUCAGCUUGUUGGUGGGGUAAUGGCCUACCAAGGCGGCGACGGGUAGCCGGCCUGAGAGGGUGGACGGCCACAUUGGGACUGGGAUACGGCCCAGACUCCUACGGGAGGCAGCAGUGGGGAAUAUUGCACAAUGGGCGCAAGCCUGAUGCAGCGACGCCGCGUGGGGGAUGACGGCCUUCGGGUUGUAAACUCCUUUCGCUAGGGACGAAGCUUUUUGUGACGGUACCUAGAUAAGAAGCACCGGCUAACUACGUG
rnacentral:rRNA from 1 species